GAUGAACGCUGGCGGCGUGCCUAAUACAUGCAAGUCGAACGAAACUUCUUUAUCACCGAGUGCUUGCACUCACCGAUAAAGAGUUGAGUGGCGAACGGGUGAGUAACACGUGGGCAACCUGCCCAAAAGAGGGGGAUAACACUUGGAAACAGGUGCUAAUACCGCAUAACCAUAGUUACCGCAUGGUAACUAUGUAAAAGGUGGCUAUACUACCGCUUUUGGAUGGGCCCGCGGCGCAGUAGCUAGUUGGUAGGGUAAAGGCUUACCAAGGCAAUGAUGCGUAGCCGAAUUGAGAGGUUGAUCGGCCACAUUGGGACUGAGACACGGCCCAAACUCCUACGGGAGGCCGCAGUAGGGAAUCUGCCACGAUGGGCGAAAGCCUGAUGGAGCACCGCCGCGUGGGUGAAGAAGGUCUUCGGAUCGUAAAACCCUGUUGUUAGAGACGAAAGUGCGUGAGAGUAACUGUUCACGUUUCGACGGUACCUAACCAGAAAGCCACGGCUAACUACGUG
rnacentral:rRNA from 1 species